rnacentral:lncRNA from 1 species
AAGUGAAAAGGGGGCGCGGCCUAAGUGAAAAGGGGGCGUGGUCUACAUGGAUGGGGGCUUGGCCUAAACGGAAGGAGGCGUGGUCUAAGUGGAAAGGGGGCGUGGUCUACAUGCGUGGGGCUUGGCCUAAACGGAAGAGGAUGUGGUCUAAACGGAAGGGGGCGUGGCCUAACCGGAAGGGGGCGUGGCCUAAAGACGAGGGGGCGUGGCUUCAAGCCCUCACCCUCUGCCCCAGCUGACAGGAGCUGCCGAAAUCGACGAUUUUGAUGGCGCUGCGUUUGGGGUUGCAGAGGAGGAUGUUCUCGGGUUUGAGGUCGCAGUGGAUGAUGCUGAGUUCCGGGGUGGCCAGGAAAAGGAGGGCGGCGCAAAGCUGCUGCGCGAAUUUCCGGGUGAGGUUGAGGGAAACGCCGCGGAAGUUGGUGUUGCGCAGGAGGUCGUAGAGGUUGUAGGAGAGCAGCUCGAAGGCGAGGCACAGGUGGUUGCGGAACAUGAAGUGGC